UAGGGAAUCUUCCACAAUGGACGAAAGUCUGAUGGAGCAACGCCGCGUGAGUGAAGAAGGGUUUCGGCUCGUAAAACUCUGUUGUAAGAGAAGAAUGACAUUGAGAGUAACUGUUCAAUGUGUGACGGUAUCUUACCAGAAAGGAACGGCUAAAUACGUGCCAA
rnacentral:rRNA from 1 species